UACGAAGGGUGCAAGCGUUACUCGGAAUUACUGGGCGUAAAGCGUGCGUAGGUGGUUCGUUAAGUCUGAUGUGAAAGCCCUGGGCUCAACCUGGGAAUGGCAUUGGAUACUGGCGGGCUAGAGUGCGGUAGAGGAUGGCGGAAUUCCCGGUGUAGCAGUGAAAUGCGUAGAGAUCGGGAGGAACAUCUGUGGCGAAGGCGGCCAUCUGGACCAGCACUGACACUGAGGCACGAAAGCGUGGGGAGCAAACAGG
rnacentral:rRNA from 1 species